GCUUCUUCACGACUUGAUCAGCAUCCUGAAUUUUAGGGUGUUAGGAAAGUACUUCUGAUGACUCGGAAAUGCAGGAAAGAGGGAAAAACUGGUCCUGGAAAGAAAGCCACCUGGAGGCUCCUGCCAUGAUAUUUUCUAACUUCUGUAUUGAGAGAAGGUUUAUAUUGUUUAUUGAACAUAUUAUCUACUUGUGACGAUGCCCCAAGUCUGAGAAGAAAACACAAAAGGAAUGAAGAGAAAAUGGGAUAUAUGAAGCCUCCUGGAUAAAACUUAUAAAACCCAUGGGCAUCCAUCAAACAACCAUCUGAUGCACAACCUGAUUGGCCAGCCAUGGUGAUCCAACACUACAAGACUGGAAAGGAGCCGGGUCAGAGGAAAGCCAAUCACAGCUUCCCCCUAAAAACAUCUACUCCCUGCAUCAUCCAAGCCUUGUUGCAGAGACUGGACUAUCCUUCAAGACUUCUCCACAGAGACUUACUUUAGGGAUCCCAUAUUUUUUUCCUCCUGUCUAGCCCCCCUUCUGGAAAUAAACCAUACACCCUGGCCAUCAGACAAACCUCUACAUGCCUUAAUGCAACUGUCUCAUUCAAAUUCUGCCUCAAAGAACUCCUGGGCUGGGCAUCCCCCAAACUGGGGGCUGGACUUUUGAGAGCACAUGAAAGAUCCAGAACAGUGCUAACUUCAGAGGUUCACCUGGACUUACCCCCAAAUAAUCUGUUAUUCAAAUAAAGCAGUUAAUAAA